UCGCUUGUUGGUGAGGUAAUGGCUCACCAAGGCGACGACGGGUAGCCGGCCUGAGAGGGCGACCGGCCACACUGGGACUGAGACACGGCCCAGACUCCUACGGGAGGCAGCAGUGGGGAAUAUUGCACAAUGGGCGAAAGCCUGAUGCAGCGACGCCGCGUGAGGGAUGACGGCCUUCGGGUUGUAAACCUCUUUCAGCAGGGAAGAAGCGAAAGUGACGGUACCUGCAGAAGAAGCGCCGGCUAACUACGUGCCAGCAGCCGCGGUAAUACGUAGGGCGCGAGCGUUGUCCGGAAUUAUUGGGCGUAAAGAGCUCGUAGGCGGCUUGUCGCGUCGGUUGUGAAAGCCCGGGGCUUAACCCCGGGUCUGCAGUCGAUACGGGCAGGCUAGAGUUCGGUAGGGGAGAUCGGAAUUCCUGGUGUAGCGGUGAAAUGCGCAGAUAUCAGGAGGAACACCGGUGGCGAAGGCGGAUCUCUGGGCCGAUACUGACGCUGAGGAGCGAAAGCGUGGGGAGCGAACAGGAUUAGAUACCCUGGUAGUCCACGCCGUAAACGGUGGGCACUAAGUUGUGGGCGACAUUCACCGUCGUCCGUGCCGCA
rnacentral:rRNA from 1 species